GUGAGGAAUUUUCCGCAAUGGGCGAAAGCCUGACGGAGCAAUGCCGCGUGAAGGAUGAAGGCCUAUGGGUUGUAAACUUCUUUUCUCAGAAAAGAAUUAUGACGGUAUCUGAGGAAUAAGCAUCGGCUAACUCUGUGCCAGCAGCCGCGGUAAGACAGAGGAUGCAAGCGUUAUCCGGACUGAUUGGGCGUAAAGCGUCUGUAGGUUGUUUAAAAAGUAUUCUGUCAAAGAUUAGGGCUUAACCCUAGAUAGGCAGAAUAAACUUUUAAGCUAGAGUUUGGUAGAGGCAGAGGGAAUUCCCGGUGGAGCGGUGAAAUGCGUAGAUAUCGGGAGGAACACCAAAGGCGAAGGCACUCUGCUGGGCCAAUACUAACACUGAGAGACGAAAGCGAGGGGAGCAAAUGGGAUUAGAUACCCGAGUAGUCC
rnacentral:rRNA from 1 species